UUUGUCACCAUACCUGCAGCACACAUAGCCCAGAAUUAGCUUCUAGUCACCAGGAAUAGUAACAUUAUUUAGAUUCCUUAUUGCCCCCCCCCUUUCUCAUUUUCUACCUGCAGAACAUUUUUGGCCUUCCCUCUACCCUCAUGUUAGGAGGGCUAGUUGUUUACUCAUUCCUCAAGUAUUAACUUAAACAUUCCAGACCUUCUUACUGAGGCCUUCCCUGGCCUCCCUUUAUUGGGGCUUAGGUGCCCUAUCUAUAUCUCCUUGGCACUCUAAAUCCUCUUCCCACACCACCUCAUAUUUUAAUUGCUUGUUUAAUAAGCUCUCCCUCCUGAUCUAGGCAGCUAGUUCCCCUAGGGAAGGGACCAGUCCUGUGGUCUUAUUUGCCUCUCAGGUCUCAGCCUCACCUGGCUCAUGUUAGUUCAAAAAUACUUGCUGAGUCAUGACCUUUCAUCUAAUCUGGUUUGAUCAUUCCAGAACCUAGGAUAGUUCAUGUCCAUGAUUUGUUCCAAAUCUUUCUGCUCUGCUCAGAUUUCUUUUCAUUUUUUUUCAUUUCUUUUCAUUCUUUUUCCUUCACUGAUCCCAAGUCUACAUCCACUCUAAGAACAAGUCUUUGCCCAAGACUGGAGCAGAAUUUUCCCUGGAGAUGAAUUUCAACCAUGACUCUGUCUUAAUGAUGCCACCCAGUCAGUAGGUAAAGGGGGGAAAGGGAGGUGUGUGAUUGGAUCACUAUAUUCUUCACAUUUUGGAGGAGAAUUCACUUCACAAGAAAGGCUCCUAUCACAAUAUUCUUGGCCAGUGGUCCUUGAGGUCACUUCCGGCCUAAGUUCGGUUAUCUCUUGGUUAUAAGGAGGCCAGGACCUGUCACAGGCUUAGCCCCUGUAAGGCACUAAUUACACGUUUGUGAUUAUUUGAAGUUUUUUUAUUGCUGCACAGUAAGCAAGGAUUUAGGCUAAAGGUGCUCCUGUGCCCUUACUGAGGGUGCAGGAAGGAGACGUGGCCUCUGAAGCCCGCACUUACUCUUUCCCUGGUCAGUAGGGAGCUGACACCUAGGAUAUGGCCUUGGAGAAGCACAGAUGUAUUCUCUCUGCUACUCCCAAGCCACUGCUGAAGUCAGGGGUAUCGUUCUGCACUUGAUGCACCUUUGUAAACCUCUCAGGAACCUCCUCAUGGACAAGGCCAUUGGAACUAUUUCCCUCUUUGGCAUUGGAAAAUGUGAUUGAACUAGUGUAUUGGAGACUGGCUGGUUAUGUUCAACGGCAAGAAAUCUACGGGGCUUUCCCAGCGCAGAUUAGAAACCGUCCCCUUUUUAAGGACCUUUUCCUUGUCUCCAUCAGAGUUUGAAAGUUUGGAAUCUCUCGUGGAGGAUUUUUACCCUCUCUCACGAGGGUUUCCUACUCCCUCCAUGCAAACAAGGGACUGACCUUAACCAUGAUCGAUCUGUUCUAGGUUUGAGGAAAACUCCCAAUCCAGCUUUCCAGAAAAUACUGAAUUUAAAGACUUUGUCCAGCGAUAGCCACUUGCAAAAAUUCCGUUGCAAAAGGAUCCAACAGGAAGCCUCUUGCCGGUUUUCUACAGGAGUUACUGCGUUGCUGUUUUGUUGUUCGUUCGUUUGGGGGUGGAGGGAGGUUGUUCUUUGUCAUCCACAAGAGGGCGCGCGCAGUCCUCGAGUUUCCUCAGAAUUUCCUCUCUUUAAAAUCUGAAGUCCUGGAAGACAGCCACAAUCACGAAGCCAAGAAAUUCAAUUUCCACUAAGCACCCCCUCGCUGGACAGGCACCGAAUCCCGCUAAACUACUUUGAGCAGAGCCAGACUCCCUUCUAUCACUAAGGAAAGUGCUGAAACUCUCUCUUCUACAUUUGUGCUGAAUAUUGUCGCGCUUCCAGGCAACUAAAAGCCAGCGGGAGGAGUUUGCGAAGGCGCUGGGAGGGAAGGGUGCGACUCGGAACACGCAGAGAACUGUCACCGAAAGCUCGGGGGAGGGGAAGAAAGGGCGCGUUCCCACAGUAUGGGCUCCUGUGUGAGUGCGGGAAUCGUUUUACCGCCGUUUUGAGUCUCCCCUGUGGACUCUGGUGAAAGAGCAGGAGGACGGUGGGGCUGCGCGCCGUCCCGGGACACUCCGCGGCCUUCCUUUCCCCGGCCCUCCGCCCCCGGGGUUGCUCCCGGGGCUGCUGGGAUCUUCCUCCCGCCUCGUCGUCCAAGUACACUUGUUUUCAGUUUUCCAUAAACAUCAACGUCUCCCCUGUGACUUUGCCGAAACCUUCGAUACGCGUCCUCGAAAGCGCCAGACACCACCCUAGUAAAGGACGGCUGUUGUGAAAGCAUUAGGAUCUGACAACGAAACGGAGUGAAAGAUCUCAGGCCUCUCACACGCUCCUCGCCUGUAAAAUAGCGCCAACGGCCCCCAUCCCACAGGGUUGCUGUGAGCCUUACUUAGAUGAGGUAACAAUACAAAACGCUUGUCACAAAACCUGACCCAGGAUUAGGGCUGUUUUGGUCAAAGACUUCAUGUGUGUUUGUUUUCCAGUGAAGAAAUAGAGGCCCGACGAACCAAGUUUCUGAACCACUUGGAAGGAAAGGCUUGGGAGGAAAGGGGUGCGGAGGGGUUCUGAAAUUAAAAGUCAAUGGUUUCCUAAAUUGAGACUCUAGUGUAAAGGAUGCUGGGUGCAGUCAUACCAGAAACCCUGGUGCCAUUUAGAAACCUCCAUGAUCCUGAUUGAUAAAACUGUUUCUACAGAAAACAAUUUGACAACAAGCCCCUUGCCAGACUCAACCUUGAGCAAAGCAGCAAUGAGGGCAGUGGAAAGAAGCCUUUCUGAGAAGCGGAAAGGAGUCAAGGUCUCUGAGAAGACAAGCCCUCCUUUGUGGAGCCUGGAUAAUGCUGGCAAAUGUUUUAGUAACUCCUUCCACUGAAGCAGAAGAUGAGGCCUCUGCAAUGAACAGCUAUAUGUACACUACUAAGCACAGGACAAGUGUGGAUCUCUUUCUCCAGAGGCCACUGGUCAAGAAUACAGUUAAUUGGAA